UACUGCAUCAGGAACUGAUAGGGUAAUGCUCUAUCGCCGUCAGUUCCUAAUGCACUGCC
rnacentral:pre_miRNA from 1 species